rnacentral:rRNA from 1 species
UACGUAGGGUGCAAGCGUUUAAUCGGAAUUACUGGGCGUAAAGCGUGCGCAGGCGGUCCGUUAAGACAGAUGUGAAAUCCCCGGGCUUAACCUGGGAACUGCAUUUGUGACUGGCGGACUCGAGUAUGGCAGAGGGGGGUAGAAUUCCACGUGUAGCAGUGAAAUGCGUAGAGAUGUGGAGGAAUACCGAUGGCGAAGGCAGCCCCCUGGGUCGAUACUGACGCUCAUGCACG